GAGGCUCUGAGAUAGAAAGGAUAUUAAAGAUUAGGAGAAUAAUGGACACUACACCCUUUUCUAUAACUAAACACAUGUUUAUUAGCAAAAGAGUACAGUCACUGAGAAUGAGACCUUCAAAUUUUUCAUAUAUUAAACAAAAGGAGACAGAUGUCAAAACAUUGUGCUUUAGCAUGGCCCAUGGAAGAUGUCUUUUGCCAUGCUGACCUGGAGAGAGACUUCUUUUGUCAUGUUGAUGGUGGUCAGUUUUCAUCCUUGCUCCCUUUUCUUGCCAGUGGCUAUUUCCUCUCUGUAUUUGAGAGCUGUUUCUUUAUUGUGAUGUCUUUUGCCAUCUGUUUCAGAAUUUCUGAUCCUUCUCACUGCCUUGUUGUCUGUUCACUCUCCUGAUCUUUAAUCUCCAUUCUAAUCAUGUUAUAAAAGAUUCUUUGGAUGACAUAUCAAUUAAUCCUUUACUUUCAAUCACUUAAAAAUGGCAGUCAUUUAGACUUCAAAAGAUUCUCCCAAAUAAAUGUUGAACUCUUUGAUUGAAAUUUAUAA
rnacentral:lncRNA from 1 species